rnacentral:rRNA from 1 species
CAGCAGCGCGGUAAUACGUAGGGUGCGAGCGUUAAUCGGAAUUACUGGGCGUAAAGCGUGCGCAGGCGGUUUUGUAAGACAGGCGUGAAAUCCCCGGGCUCAACCUGGGAAUGGCGCUUGUGACUGCAAAGCUAGAGUGCGGCAGAGGGGGAUGGAAUUCCGCGUGUAGCAGUGAAAUGCGUAGAUAUGCGGAGGAACACCGAUGGCGAAGGCAAUCCCCUGGGCCUGCACUGACGCUCAUGCACGAAAGCGUGGGGAGCAAACAGGAUUAGAUACCCCAGUAGUCCCUGUCUCUUAUACA